rnacentral:rRNA from 1 species
UACGUAGGGGGCGAGCGUUGUCCGGAUUUAUUGGGCGUAAAGCGCGCGCAGGCGGCUUCUUAAGUCUGAUGUGAAAGCCCGUGGCUCAACCACGGAGGGUCAUUGGAAACUGGGGAGCUUGAGUGCAGAAGAGGAGAGUGGAAUUCCACGUGUAGCGGUGAAAUGCGUAGAUAUGUGGAGGAACACCAGUGGCGAAAGCGGCUCUCUGGUCUGUAACUGACGCUGAGGCGUGAAAGCGUGGGGAGCAAACAGG